rnacentral:rRNA from 1 species
GACGAACGCUGGCGGCGUGCCUAAUACAUGCAAGUCGAACGAACCGCGACCGAGUGCUUGCACUUGGUCAAGGUGAGUGGCGAACGGGUGAGUAACACGUGGGUAACCUACCUCAUAGUGGGGGAUAACAGUCGGAAACGACUGCUAAUACCGCAUAGGACAUGGGAUCACAUGAUUCUGUGAGGAAAGGUGGCGCAAGCUAUCGCUAAGAGAUGGACCCGCGGUGCAUUAGCUAGUUGGUAGGGUAACGGCCUACCAAGGCAAUGAUGCAUAGCCGACCUGAGAGGGUGAUCGGCCACAUUGGGACUGAGACACGGCCCAAACUCCUACGGGAGGCAGCAGUAGGGAAUCUUCCGCAAUGGACGCAAGUCUGACGGAGCAACGCCGCGUGAGUGAAGAAGGUCUUCGGAUCGUAAAGCUCUGUUGUUAGAGAAGAACAGCGCAUAGAGUAACUGUUAUGCGUGUGACG